ACAUACAUACAUACAAACAUACACAUAUCAAUAAAUAUGUACUUGUAAAACGUUGGUAGCGAAGUUCAGAUCCGACCUCCACCACCACCACUGCUACCGAAAAGGACUAGGAACUAAUCAGAAAAAUUCAGACUACUAAAUUAACUAAUCACAUGCAUUGGUUAAGUAAUCUUGUAAGAAGAUUGCCUCAAAUGCCCCUAUUGACAGCACUGCUAAUAGUAAUAAUCUUCCAUUUUACUUCAUUUGAUUUACUGUAUGUUUUCAUUUUUUAGGCAAAACGUUUGCAUGAAGCAUUUCAUCAACCAUUUAUAAUGAGCAAGAAAAAAGUUGAACAAUCUAGUGGAGAUAAACAAUCAAAGUCAUGAGACACAAUUGUGCAACUCUAUUCCUGGAUUGUACCAAUACUUGUGGGGGAAAUUCCCCUGGGGAAUAUUGCAACUUUAAAGCCUCCCCCCAACUGUCAGAUGUGUAUAAAUAAAUGUACACCCUUUCAAAUUCAAAUUAGCGGCUUAGCCAUGACCUUUUAAAUAUUCAUUGCUCUGCAGUAAGCUGGCCCAUUUUAUAUCUUAUGCAGACUUGAAUAAUGCUUACUUAAACAAUUCCCAUGUACAGAAGACACACAUUCAUUAAUUUGAGAAAUUAUAUGGCUGUCAAAUUACUACAAUAGGUUACAGUUAAUUUGAAAGGGUGUACAUUUUUUUGAUACACCCUGUAUGUGUGCUUUAGCACUGAAAUUGGACACUGAAUAGCAGAUAUUCACUAUACGUUAUAUUAGAAAGUUAUUGUGAAAAAAUUUGACAUUACACUAAAAAAUUCAAAAUAUUAUUGUCUCAUUGGAUGGCUAAUAGGGGUAGGGAUAAAACGCUGAAACUGAAUCGCGGAAACUGAAAGCGGAAACUGAAAUGGGGAUAAAACGCUGAAAUGGGGGUAAAACGCUGAAAUGGGGGUAAAACGCUGAAAUGGGGGUAAAACGCUGAAAUGGGGAUAAAACGCUGAAAUGGGGAUAAAACGCUGAAAUGGGGAUAAAACGCUGAAAUGGGGAAAUUUAAUCGAAUUCGUUGUUUGCUAGACCAUUGCGAACGGCAAUUGCUAGAUAGUAUACUUCAAAAUAAGGUUUGCGU